UACGGAGGGUGCAAGCGUUAUCCGGAAUCAUUGGGUUUAAAGGGUCCGCAGGCGGAUUUAUAAGUCAGUGGUGAAAGCCCGUUGCUCAACAACGGAACUGCCAUUGAUACUGUAAGUCUUGAAUUCGGUCGAAGUGGGCGGAAUAUGACAUGUAGCGGUGAAAUGCUUAGAUAUGUCAUAGAACACCGAUAGCGAAGGCAGCUCACUAGGCCUGGAUUGACGCUCAGGGACGAAAGCGUGGGGAGCAACAGG
rnacentral:rRNA from 1 species